UCGGGAAUUUUGGGCAAUGGGCGAAAGCCUGACCCAGCAACGCCGCGUGAAGGAUGAAGUAUUUCGGUAUGUAAACUUCGAAAGAAUAGGAAGAAUAAAUGACGGUACUAUUUAUAAGGUCCGGCUAACUACGUGCCAGCAGCCGCGGUAAUACGUAGGGACCAGGCGUUGUUCGGAAUUAUUGGGCGUAAAGGGUAGGUAGGUGGUCUCGUUUGUCUGAGGUGAAAGCCCUGGGCUUAACUCAGGAAGUGCCCCAGAAACGGCGAGACUGGAGUCCUGGAGAGGGUCGUGGAAUUCCCGGUGUAGCGGUGAAAUGCGUAGAGAUCGGGAGGAACACCAGAGGCGAAGGCGGCGACCUGGACAGGUACUGACACUAAAC
rnacentral:rRNA from 1 species